AUUUGUAGAUUAACAUGGAAGAAGGAAAAGUAACCUCCCAGUUCCUGCCUGGUGAUGCUGCUACAAAGAGAACUGAUGGAAACAACUUUGUAUAGAAGAACCAUCAGCAACACAGAUAAAGCAAACGGAAAUGCAGUAAGCACAGGAACGAUGCUGUUACUGUCAUUACAUCUGCAUAGUUCUACAUCUAGUGCUAUUGUCAUCUGGAAGAAAUGACAACACGGGGCAACCUUUGUUUCAGAUGUUCUGACAUUCCUUUCAGCUCUGUUCCAGAAGGAGACAUCAAGAUUAGCAGCUGGUUUUGAAGAUCUAGAUUUAUACAUCAUGAUCUAAAAUGAAAUAAAAGUUAUUUUAUUUCAUGGUCAAUGGAGGAAUAUAAAAUUCUGGGUUAUUUAUAAAUCAUUAAGCUUGGAUAUUUAUAUUUAAUUUUAUAACAUAUUUAAAAAAAAAAAAAAAUAAAGUAAUUGAGAAGCAUGCUGUAUUUCUCAAUGUCUACCAGCAAAGAUUUGUUUUGCUUGGAAAUAGGGAAGAAUAAACUGCCUCAAGCAUGUAUGGUAACAUCUAGUUGUUUGGAUGAUACCCACAUAUUUCAGUGAGAACCUUGGGAAACCCCAUGGAGUAUUGGAGUCUACCCAGGCAGCCUUUUUUUGAUGUAGGCCAGAAUGGUGAGCUUUGAUAGCAAGAACGCCAAGAAUUACAAGUAAUUCUGCAUGGAAACAAUAGAAAAAGAGGAAUUGAAAGUAACCUAAGUAUAUCCUUACUAUAAAUAUCAUUAUAAUUCUGAUAAUGUGCAGGGGCUCUCAUAACUCCUUGGAGAUGUGUCUGAUUUGGAGCUACGAGCCGUCUUUAGUGCUAGGAGAGAUAUUCCACAGCAUCCAUCUCGAAAGGCUGUGCUAAAGCAAAGAUGAUGAUGAAGAAGACAGGACCUAAGGCUCCACUGAAGAGAGUAAUGAACUAGUCCAUCAUAAAGCAGCUUGAAAUAUCAGCUCUUUGAAAGGGUAGGUAACAGCAGGACAAGGGGAAAUGGUUUUAAGUUGAGGGGGGGAAGAUUUAGGUUGGAUGUCAAGGGGAAAUUCUUCACAGAGACAGUGGUGAGAUGCUG